AUCACAGUCUUUUUUUUCAGGUUUAAUAUGAAGCUACUUUCUGACAUUUAGAAUUACCAAAUUACUUCAGCUCCUGAAAGAUAUUAAUAGAGCUUAUAAUACUUUUUGUCAUUUCAGUAGAAGGUGCUAAAUAAGACUGGUCAGCUUAGAAGCCUGAAAGAAAUUAGUUCUAAGUUAUUUCCUCAUGCCUGAAAUUGCAAAUGUCAGGUUCCAUUACAAGUGGCUGAGACAAGAGCUCCUCCCUUGCCCCCCUCAGUGCAGGGUAGCCCAGAAGUCUGAGCACUAAGGCUUUGGGGUCCUCUUACCAUUAUUGAACACCUACCACAUUGUGCUUCCUAUGUUUGCUGCUGAGGUGCCACCUGCCCUCAUGGAGCUUCUGGUCUCUCGGAGCUGUCAGACCAGUAAGUCAACAUUGGUGAGUUGUGAGUAGCUACUGUGGAUAACAAACGAAAUGGUUUAAAACAACUGCUUGAUUAUAUCUCAUGGAUUCUGUGGGUCAGGAAUUCAGAGUCAGGAUGUGGCUGUGUAGUUCUUCUAUUCCUUCGGGAGCUGCUGAUGUCACUCCAUGGGCCUCAGCCGGUGAGUGGGCUGCUCUAAAGGAUCCCAACAGCUGAACUCACAUGUCUGGAAGGAGUGGCUGAAAGACUGAGCUUGUAAUGGACUGUCAACUGGAGUGCCCAAGCGUGGUGUUUUCAGCCUGGUGGUUUCAAGGCAAUUGGAUUUCCUACAUAGGAUCUGCUUCCCUGGUGGCUCAGACAUUAAAGAAUCUACCAGCAAUGCAAGAGACCUGAUUCAAUCCUGGGUUGUGCAGAUCCCCCAGAGAAGGCAAUGGCAACCCACUCUGGAAAAUCCCAUGGACAGAGAAGCCUGGUGGGGCUGCAGUUCCAUGUGGUCACAAAGAACUGGACAUGCCUGAGGGACUAACACACACACACACACACACACACACACACACACACACACACACACACACUAACAUAGGGGCCAGAUACCCCUAGACUAAGCAUCUCAAGAAAAUUAGGUAGAAGCUUCAUGGCCUUUUUGGCCUUGGACUGGAGAUUCACACAACAGAACUUUUAACAAUUUAUUUUUGGUUAUGAGUGAAUCGUAAGGUCAGCCUGGAUUCAAGUGAAAGGAAACUGAACUCUAUUUCAUGGUGUGGAUGGGAAUGGCAAAUUCACAGUGUACAAAGUUUGUGGGAAGGAGUUACCAUUGUGGUCACCUUUUCUUUAUGGUAAAAAAAUUUAUAUUUAGUUAGCUGGACUCAGAUGAUCCCAAUUUUGUUGGCGAUAUCCAAAGAAUCAUAGAAGGGAGCCAGUUGAACAUGUGUCUUCUCUCCAUCAGGCCUAAUCAAUGUUGACCUUGACCACAUCAUGGUCAGAAAGCAUCUGCACAGCCUGAUCUGGUGCCUACUGGCCUUGGCAUUCAGUGAACAUAAGUGAACUGUUGCCUUCUAUCUCCUUCAUGGCUGACUCGGAGUUCAAGAGGAACUUGGUGAUGGCAUGGUGGUCAAGCUUAUUUCUCCUGGGGCCGCUCUUUUGAGGAUAUUUGGAACUCCUUCAGAGCGCAGUGUCUUGGGCCAUCGAAAGGCGGGUGAUAUGUGGAUCUUAUUUAUGAUCAUCUUUGAAAAUGCAAUCUAUCGGAGAAAGGAAAAAGCAGAGAUGGAGGGAAAGGUUCUAUAGACCUAAAGGACUGAAGUCGCAGCUAAUGCAAGAUACAUGAAGACAGUCUGGAGUUUGGAGGAUGACACCAACUCUGAAAUGUUCCAUGGCUGAUGCCUGCGCCUUGUGUUUCUUACAUAAUCAUGCCUCUUCUUAAAGUGCUGGCAAUUUAGAAACAAGCAAAGGAAUCUAUCAGAAAUCAGGAUGGAGGUUGCCUGAGGUGUAAGGGGGUUGCCUUUGGAAAGAGGCGCAGUGAGCGCUCCUGGGCUGCUGGGGAUGCUGUAUUUCUUAAUCUGGAUGCUGCUUCCAUGGGUAUGAGGUCUUCCCUUUGUGAAACACAGACUGAGCCACACACGUAUGAUGUGUACAUUUUUAUCUGAGGAUGUUAUGCUUCAAUAAAAAGCACACUAAAAAAUGAACAGAAAUGGUAAGUUGUGGUUGGCACAUAGUAGGUAAUCACCCAUCCCAACUUCUCUGUGUGCUGCUAGGAAACAUGAAAUGAAGGGUUUAUAAGAAAAUCUCCAAACUUGCUUGUAGCUCUAAUAUCCUAUGCUUCUAUGAUUACACUGGAAAAAGACUAGAAGAGAAUUCUGACUUCAGUUCACAGUGGGAAAUUCCACUUGCCAAGAAGAAGGCCCUGGGGCCAGCCAGCCCUCUGGGCCUGAGCUGAUUAUGGACGUGUCCCAAGCCCUUCAGGACAAGCGGUGUGUGGUGGAGCAGAGAAUCUCUUUUUGGGAGGGCCACGUGGUAUGCGGAGUCUUAGUUGCCACAUCUGCUUCAGUGGAACUGCACAGUCUUAACCACUGGACUGCCAAGGAAGUCCCUGGGGCAGAGCACCAUUUGCUGAAGAGGUGAGAGGCAGGAGGCUGUGCUGCAGCCGUUCUUUCUGGAUUCCUCCCUCACUCACUUCGUCCUGUUUCUCUCUUCCCUUGUCAGCAGCUUUCCUGGCUGACACUCUCUGCUUUUAGGGCUGACAGCUGGCUGGGACAAGUUUCCCUUUUCCUCUCACCUCGUUGGCACCUGUCUCAGUUCCCCUUGUUAUGGUUGCUGCCAUGAGCUCUUGCAGCCUUUGUGUCCCAUGUUCCCCACCCACCUAGUAGCUGAACCUGCCUUAUUUGCCUUUCCCAGAGGCACAAGGCGUUUUAGCAUCUAAAACUUGAAACACUCCCUUUCUGCCUUACCUCUCCAUGGCAUACUUGUCAAUUUCAGUGUGCUACACUACACUGAGUGCUUAGAAAAGAAUAAUUGAGGGAGAAAAUAAAGAAUUGAGGUGCUACAGAUGGGCAGAGGGAUCAAAGGCAGACAUGGACAGGGCCCCAGCCCCUCCUAUCACUCGGUUUGUAAGCAGUCUCUGCUCACCCCUGGGUUACAGAAAAUGCAAACACUGCCACAGGAGCUUUCCACAAGCCCCUGGCCUAACAGGGAUGAAGAAUGCAGGCAAAUGUAUAGGUAAUUAAUAGUGAGAAACCUCAAAUGAAUAAUGAUGUAGCCACGAAACAGAAAUGCCACAGGGACCCAAAAGGAACAUGGGAUCCUCCAAGAGAGCAUCACAUAAACAAAGCCUCAUGGAAGGCAGACAGGUUAAAGUUGGAAACACUUUCAUUGCAAUCCAAAUCUGAAGUUUUUUGAGAGAUUAAUGGAGAAUGAAAAAGGCUGGCUCCGUAAUCAAGAAAUACAGAGUCCAAAAGUUGGCUCUAUUAGCUUUACUGGGAUGGGGGCUUGUGCUGUCGAAGGGAGCAGGGAUAACUGAUGUAACCAUAUGAAGCUAAGCAAAGUUGUGAGCAAGAAGUAAAAUCUAGUCCACAGAGGAAGCGUUAUUAAAAGAAAAAUCAUGGACUCUUAUACUUAAUGCAUUUCUGUAGGAACUUGGUCACCCAAUGUACAGUCCAGGCCCAGGUCCUGCCUGCUGUAGGUCCAGUCAUCUGCUCGAGAGGUGGGGGAGUGGGGAAAGGGAAGAAUAUGGGUUUAUCCCUUCCUUCUGUUCCUAAAGAGCCUCUUGAUAACAGUGAAAGAGGAGAGUGAAAAAGCUGGCUUCAAACUCAACAUUCAAAAAACGAAGAUCAUGGCAUCUGGUCCCUUUCACUUCACGGCAAAUAGAUGGGGAAACAAUGGAAACAGUGAGAGACUUUAUUUUCUUGGGCUCCAAAAUCACUGCAGAUGGUGACUGCAGGCAUGCAAUUAAAAGACACUUGCUCCUUGGAAGAAAAGCUAUGACCAAUAUAAGACAGCAAUAUUUAAAAGCAGAGACAUUACUCUGCUGACAAAGGUCCAUCUAGUCAAAGCUAUGGUUUUUCCAAUAGUCAUGUAUGGAUGUGAGAGUUGGACCAUAAAGAGAGUUGAGAACCAAAGAAUUGAUGCUUUUGAACUGUGGUGCUGGAGAAGACUCUGGAGAGUCCCUUGGACUCCUAGGAGAUCCAACCAGUCAAUCUUAAAGGAAAUCAGUCCUGAAUAUUCAUUGGAAGGACUGAUGCUGAAGUUGAAACUCCAGUACUUUGGCCACCUGGUGGGAAGAACUGACUCAUUGGAAAAGACUCUGAUGCUGGGAAAGAUGAAGGCAGGAGGAGAAUGGGAUGACGGAGGAUGAGAUGGUUGGAUGGCAUCACCAACUCAAUGGACAUGAGUUUGAGCAAGCUCCAGGAGUAGGUGAUGGACAGGGAAGCCUGGCGUGGUGCAGUCUAUGGGUUUGUAAAUAAUUGGAUAUGACGGAGUGACUGAACUGUGUGUCUGUUCCUACUCCUGAUAUAAAACACCAGACAGUCAUAAAACAACGUAACCCAAUGCUGAAGAAUGAGACAAAUGUGAUGGGACCUAUCACAUCCAUUUCUUAUUUCUGUGAUUUUCUGGUCCAUAAACCAACUGAGGAUAAACAGGGAAAAACAGCCUGAGUUCUAUUAGAACCGCAUGAAGUAAAAUCCUCUUGGCACUCAAGAAUGCAUCUCAAUGCCUACUUUAAGGCUUGUUGUCUAUAAGGCCUCCAAAAGAUGAAAGCGAUUACAAAGCUGAAUAGUAAAGGUCAUAAGAGUAAACACUUUUAUGGGUUUCCCAUGUGCUGGCCACAGUGUUCUAAGCACUUGCCAGGUAUGUCCAGCCACAGCACUGUGAUGGAGUUACUGGAACUGCACCUGUUUUAGAGAAAUAGGGAAACUGAAGGAGAGGCAUAUACAAUUUCAUUCAUUCUUUCACUCAUGCGUUCAUUCAACAAACAUUUCUCCUCUUGCAUGUCUGGAUGUAGCGGGUUUGCUGCUUUGCAGGUGCGUGCUGAAUGCCUGGCAGGAUCAAAAGCUGUCCGUAGGCAGCUUGAGCUGCUUAACAAAGUGCCACAGACUGGGUGACUUAAAGAGCAGGAUUUUAUUUUCUUACCAGUCUGGAGUCUGGAAGUCCUGGGAGAUAUGGUUUCUACCAAGACCUCUCUCUGUGGCUUGCAUGAGGCCACCUUCUCUCCAUGUCCUCACGUGGCUUUUGCUCUGAGCUGUGUAUCUCUGAGGUUUCUGUGUCCUAGGACAUCAGUUAACCUGAUGUCCAUUAGGGCCCAACUCUCAGGCAUCAUUUUAGCUUAUCUCUUUAAAAUCCAUCUCCAAAUAUAGUCACUUUCUGAACAUUUGAGGGAGGGAAGGGCAUGGACACCAUUCAUGCCAUGACAGCUGGGAAGACAAUGAGAUUCCUUGACUGAGGUCAUGAGACCUUAACUGCAUCCCUGUAAGCUGGGCCUAGCAGCUUCCUCUUCCCCGGCGACAUCAGAACUCACAAGGUUUGCAGCCUGAAUCCCCAAGGACUGAGGCGGAUGAACUAUAUGAAAUCAUCCCACAAGUUGUUUGUUAACCAGCCGUCCACCAGCUGCAGUACAAUGGCGGCCUGUGCGGACCAAGGAACGCAGCUGUGUCCAAUUGCUCAGAGUGUUUGCUAAAAACAUUGAAAAGGAAACAUCUGCUUAUACUAUAUUUUUCUUUCUUUUUUUCCUUUGAAUGGUUCAAAAGGGAAUAAAGCAGAUUUCAGUAACUCUGCCACCCGGAGCUGGAUUCCUGCCUUCAAUAAUUCUUCUGUGCUUGUCACAUUCAUACUUGCUCUGAGGCACUUCAAACGCUGCUGAUUUAUUCUUCCAUGAAUUUGAAUGAAGGUAGUGCUGAGGAGCCAAGUUGUUCUGCUCUUCAGAUGGGAUUUCACGGUCUAUCUGCCAACUUAUUAAGAGAACCUACUCCUUCCAGUUUUCCAGAUUUAUUCCGAUUACAAUUUAUCUUAGUCGUCUUAAUCUUGAAAUAAAGAGCUGUGGGACCCAAUAGUGUAUUAUAUCCACCAAAACUUUGAUCCCUCAAGACAGUGUGGAAGAACCACUUAAAAAUAUUUUAAAAAUCAUAGUCAUAAAUGUGGCUGGGCAAUCACAAUGCAUAAUGCUCUGAAAAUCUGCUCCCAACUUCAAAUUUCUAGUUCCCUAAGAAGGCAGCCAGUCAUAAGAAAGUAAAGAUCAGUGUAUCUUUAUAUACAACCAUUUCUCUCAUUUUCAAGCCCUUUGUAAGUAGUCAACACUGGGAAACCCAGGCGUGAUGGCAUCAGAGCUGCUUGUCUUAAAAGUCUGCAGAAAAUGUGGUGCAGAGUCUAACUCCCUCUUGCUUUAAGUUGAAAAGGCUGCCUUUGGUGGAGAGCGAAGUGCAACCAUCUGCUUAAUGAGAGGUGCCCCUCUGCAAGGAGAAGACCUGGGAGGACCAGAGGAUGAGUGUUCUGCACUGGUUCUAUCAUGGAUUCAUUCUGACUUAAGAGAUCAUUUUACAUCCCGUUGCCUCAUGUGCUUUCUCAUUAAGAUGGCAGGGCUUUACCAGCUUUCUCUCUCACAGGAGGAUCAUGUGGAACAAUUAAGGGUUAAUUAACUAAUUGGAGGACAACUGUGCAAGAGAGAUAAUGAAGAUUUCUAUUGCAUUUCCCUGGCUUUGGGUAAGGCCACUCCUAAAUCAACUUUAAUCAGAAGCUUAAGGCCUCAAUUUGUCCUUAGUAGUCACAACUUGAGGUUUAAAAUGAACAUGAAUCUCUUGAAUAUACAUUUUCCAAAUCAGAUUUUUUUUCCCUCUGCAAGACUGGUUUCUAGUACCGACUUUGCUGGGUUAAUCAAUA
ensembl:lncRNA